rnacentral:rRNA from 1 species
CUUUUUUGAGAGUUUGAUCCUGGCUCAGGAUUAACGCUAGCGACGUGCCUAAGGUAUGCAAGUCGAACGGUUCUUUCUUGACCGUAAGGAAUAGAAAGAACAGUGGCGAACGGCUGAGUAAUACACAAGAACAUACCUCAAACCCUGGUAUAGUACAACGAAAGUUGUAGUAAAACCAGAUAGUCCUGAAAAGGUAAAACUGCGGUGGUUUGAGAUUGGCUUGUGGCCUAUCAGAUAGUUGGUGGGGUAACGGCCUACCAAGUCUAUGACGGGUAGCUGGUCUGAGAGGACGGACAGCCAGACUGGGACUGAGACACGGCCCAGACUCCUACGGGAGGCAGCAACUAGGAAUUAUGCGCAAUGGCCGAAAGGCUGACGCUGCGACGUCGCGUGGAGGAUGAAGGUCUUAGGAUUGUAAACUCCUUUUAUCUGCGAACAAGUUCUGAGUGUAGCAGAUGAAUAAGCACCUGCUAACCACGUGCCAGAAGCAUCGGUAAUACGUGGGGUGCGAGCGUUAUCCGGAUUUACUGGGCGUAAAGAGAUGCGUAGGCGUCCUGAAAAGUUCUGUGUUAAAUCCUAAAGCUCAACUUUAGAACUGCACAGAAAACUUUCAGGAUAGAGUCAGAUAGGGAAGAGAGGAAUUCUUGGUGGAGCGGUUAAAUGCGUUGAUAUCAAGAGGAACACCAAUGGCGAAGGCAUCUCUUUGGAUCUGUACUGACGCUAAGGCUCGAAAGCGUGGGGAGCAAAACGGAUUAGAUACCCGUGUAGUCCACGCCGUAAACGAUCCUUGCUAGAUGUUUGAAAAACCUGACAUCUUUUUGGAUGACAAAAAGAUAAAGGGUUUUUUGAGUGUCGAAGCUAACGCGUUAAGCAAGGCGCCUGGGAAGUACGACCGCAAGGUUAAAACCCAAAGGAAUUGACGGGGACCCGCACAAGCAGUGGAGCGCCUGGUUUAAUUCGAUGAUAAGCGAAGAACCUUACCUAGGCUUGAACUGUAGCUGCAAACCUUGUGAAAGCUAGGUUUCCUUCGAGGGUGCUACAGAGGUGAUGCAUGGCUGUCGUCAGCUCGUGUCGUGAGAUGUAGGGUUAAGUCCCAUAACGAGCGCAACCCCUGUCCAAUGUUACAAUUUCUUUGGAGACUGCCUCGCCACAACGAGGAGGAAGGAGGGGAUGACGUCCAGUCAUCAUGUCCCUUAUGUCUAGGGCUUCACAGACGCUACAAUGGUUACUACAAUGGGUUGCCAAGUCGCGAGAUGGAGCUAAUCCCAACAAAAGUAACCUCAGUUCAGAUUGUAGUCUGCAACUCGACUACAUGAAGGAGGAAUUGCUAGUAAUCGCACAUCAGCAUGGUGCGGUGAAUACGUUCUCGGGUCUUGUACACACCGCCCGUCAAGGCAUGGGAGUUGCUUUUGCUCGAAGUCCUCGUUGACCGAGGCCUAAAGUAAAGGCAGCGACUGGGCUUAAGUCGUAACAAGGUAGCCGUAGGGGAAUCUGCGGCUGGAUUACCUCCUUUC